AGAGUUUGAUCCUGGCUCAGGAUGAACGCUGGCGGUAUGCUUUACACAUGCAAGUCGUACGAGAGUUUUUAACUAGUGGCGGACGGGUGAGUAACACGUAAGAAUUUGCCUUUAGGAGGGGGAUAACAACUGGAAACGGUUGCUAAUACCCCAUAUGCUUUCGAGUGAAAUGGAUUUUCCGCCUAAAGAGAAGCUUGCGGCUGAUUAGCUUGUUGGUGAGGUAAUGGCUUACCAAGGCGACGAUCAGUAUCUGGUUUGAGAGGACGAUCAGACACACUGGAACUGAGACACGGUCCAGACUCCUACGGGAGGCAGCAGUGGGGAAUUUUCCGCAAUGGGCGAAAGCCUGACGGAGCAAUACCGCGUGAGGGAUGACGGCCUAUGGGUUGUAAACCUCUUUUUUCAGGGAGGAAUCAAUGACGUGUACCUGAAGAAUAAGCAUGCAUCGGCUAACUCGUGCAAGCAGCGCGGUAGACG
rnacentral:rRNA from 1 species